CCUACGGGUGGCAGCAGUGGGGAAUCUUGGACAAUGGGCGCAAGCCUGACCCAGCAACGCCGCGUGAGGGAAGAAAGCCCUCGGGUUGUAAACUUCUUUUGUCAGGGACGAAACAAAUGACGGUACCUGACUAAUAAGCCGCGGCUAACUACGUUCCAGCAGCCGCCGUAAUACGUAGGUGGCAAGCGUUAUCCGGAUUUACUGCGUGUAAAGGGCGUGUAGGCGGGAGAGCAAGUCAGAUGUGAAAUUCCAGGGCUCAACCCUGGAACUGCAUUUGAAACUGUUAUACUUGAGUGAUGGAGAGGCAAGCGGAAUUCCGUGUGUAGCGGUGAAAUGCGUAGAUAUACGGAGGAACACUAGUGGCGAAGGCGGCUUGCUGGACAUUAACUGACGCUGAGGCGCGAAAGCGUGGGGAGCAAACAGGAUUAGAUACCCGGGUAGUC
rnacentral:rRNA from 1 species